UGUAGCUUCGUCCCUCCCUGAUGCUGCUAAUGCAAGAUGCAUAGGAAUCUUAUUCAAUAUCAAAAAUUGACAUACCGUGCAAUCAUGUCUAAUGUCUUUCAUUAAAUCUCCGCGGAGGUGCCGGCCGGCUGGUACAUAUCCCGAUCUACUUGGAUGUGCAGACCUAGGAGUUGGAACAAUUCACCAAGAGAAGCCAGUUCGUGUAUAACAGAAUGGGUGGAAUUUAUCAUGAGAUCCUACCCAAAUCCGAGUACUUCUCCAAGGCACUGUACACCUUCCAUUUCGCCCAAAACGAUCUCUCUGUGGGCUACUUCACCAAUAAGACUACCAAACAGAUUGAGGCCUAUGACCCCGAUCCUAAGGAGCGGUUCACUGUGGCAAUGCAGGUACAAUUCAAACUAAUUUGCUGACAAUCUCGCUCACAACCAAGGAAAAUUUAGUUCUUGACACAAUUAACAUUACAUGAUCUGUGCUGGCUAUACUUUAUUCAUGCUUGCUUUGAAGUCUUGGUUCAUGGAAAGAAUUUAUAAUUUUAUCUCUGUACUACACAUGUAAUAUAACUUGUACAAGAAGAAUAAGAAGCUUGUCAAGUUUUAUCUCUGUACCAGACAUGUAAUAUACCUUGCAGUAGAAGAGUACUAGACAUGUACAUUCUAAGGCUGAACCAGCCUUAGAUUACUUGUAGAAGAAGCUUGUCAAUUUCCUAUCAACGAAUUUGCCAGGCUGGUCUCAUAACUGAGCCAGUUCUA